AAUAAAGUGCCUGAAUAAAGGGUUAUCGUGAUAGGAUAAAUAAAGUAAUCAAAAAUUACCUUUAUUA
rnacentral:tRNA from 1 species